CCCGGCCUUGCCACCAUUGUCCUGGUCCCUGGGAUCCCAGGACCCCUGCCCAACAAGGCUGGAGGGUUGGAGGAGAGACCCCUUGUCUCUGUGCACCCUGAUGCUUGUCCCCUACUUGUGAUCUUCACACAUGGACACUGGCCUGAGAGUCAACACCGGCCCACAGAUCGAUUCUCAUCUGAGGUGCAGCCACCCCGAGCCGUGGAGCCCCCCGCGGGUGCAGCACAGCAGACGCCCCUGCCCAAGCGGGUCCCACUGAGCUCACCUCCUCCCCCGCCCCUGCUCCCCGCAGCAGGGGUGUGAGCCAGCCCUCCCCGAGCGCACGCGUCCGCAUCCGGUCCUGACCUGCCCUCCUCCGUCAGCCCUGGCGAUCAGUCAGCCUGGACAGUCAUCAGCUUGAAGAGCUGAAUCUGAACAUAGAGACGAAACUCCAGCUGGGACGUGAUCACCUACUUUGCCCUCGUGGCCCCCUCUCUGGCGCUGUGUGACGCUUUGUGCUAAAGCAGGGGUCCCCAACCUCCGGGGUCCAAUGCCUGAUGAUCGGAGGUGGAGCUGAUGUAGUAAUAAAC
ensembl:lncRNA